rnacentral:rRNA from 1 species
UACGUAGGGCGCAAGCGUUGUCCGGAAUUAUUGGGCGUAAAGAGCUCGUAGGCGGUUUGUCGCGUCUGCUGUGAAAACCUAAGGCUCAACCUUGGGCUUGCAGUGGGUACGGGCAGACUAGAGUGCGGUAGGGGUGACUGGAAUUCCUGGUGUAGCGGUGGAAUGCGCAGAUAUCAGGAGGAACACCGAUGGCGAAGGCAGGUCUCUGGGCCGCAACUGACGCUGAGGAGCGAAAGCAUGGGGAGCGAACAGG